ensembl:lncRNA
CUGCCACCGCUGCCGUCGCCACCGCGUACCUGGGCUCCGCGCCAGACUGACGAGACGAGAUCUCGCCCCGCACGGACGGACGGACGGACGGACGGAGCGGAGCGGACAGGGCUGGGCCCCAGGAAGCACUUGCAAUUCUGACAGUUGACAUUUUACCUGCCAGAAGCUCUAUAUGUGUGACCUUCCCCCCUCACGAACAAAGCACCUGCCUGGGGAGUCUGGGAGCUCGUGUGUAUCUGCAUAUUUGGGGCUGUCCAGUGCAACCUCUGGGAUUGGGGGUCUAAGUUUCCUGGUUUCCCAGUUUGAGAUCAGGGAGAUGCUGCUGAAGAAAGCAGUGCGUUGCAGAGGUGGAACAAUGAAUGAAACAGCCGGAGCGCCUCGUGCUUCGCUGCUGUAUUAUCAGCGGCAGAAUCUGCGCUGGCUCACCUCAUCAAUGAGAGACUGAAGCAAGAUGGACUUGGAGAUCAUGGUCUUUCACACUGGGAGCAGCAGAGGACAGCCGAGGACAGCAUACAGCCUGGAAGUACCAGUAUAGAACAAGAAAGCUCAUGCAGUCUGUGCCACCAAUUUCCUUAAUGUUCCCCCAGGCAAGUCAUGAAGUCUCCCUGGGCUCAAUUUUUCUCACUUUGAAAAUGAGUAGACUUUAUGCGCCACUCUUGUUUUUCAAGCUGAGAUGCUGUAGUUUUCUGAACAUCUGCUCUGCAUUGCUCUACUCUGGUGUUCUCUACAGGGUAAAUCACAGGCGGUGUUUUUUAUGAGGGGGAAGAGGAGAGAAAAAUUGGGAAUCAUAGGAACAUAGAUUAAGAACCUUAGGACCUUAGAAAUCUGCCUUCAUUUUAUAGUGAGGAAACAGAAAGAUUCAGAGAGUUUAAGUGAUUUGCCCAGGGUCGCACAGUAAGGCCUAACGCAGGAAUUAGACCAGGUUUUGCUGAUUCAGAAGUCCAGCUCUCUAUUGCCUCUUGAUUUAGUCAUAGAAUCAUAGAGCAUCAGGGUUGGAAGGAGUCUCAGAGAUGAGCAAACCCAGCCCAUGCCUGGCCAAUACUGUCUAUAAUAUCUGAUAAAGAGGUAAAGAACAUCAAGGAGCAGUGGAUUAGCAGAGUUGGUUGCUGUUACAUAGCAGCAUUGGGCUGGGGAACCCGUGACACCAAGGCCACAUCUGGCUGGCCCUGGAGAACAGAACUAGGAACAGAGUGUGGAAAUUGUCAUGAGGCCACUUUAGGCUGGAUAGCAGGAAGAACUUCCUAUCAUUGAGAGCUGACCAGAAAGAAAUGGGCUGCCUCUAGAGGGGGAUGAGUCCCCUCUCCUCUAAGGGCUCUGAGCAGAGCUUUGGUGGCUACCUGCUGGGUAAAUCAUAGUGGGGAUCCAUUUGGGGGUACAUGUUGUACUAGAUGGGCACUGAGGUCCCUUCCAAUUCUAGAAUUUUCUGACUCUGUAAAAUUGAGGCAUAAUUCCAAAGCACUGGCUUUUGGAGUGAAAAAAAAAAGAUUUGAAAUCUCACUUUUGUCAUUUAAUAGCUGUAUGACCUUGGACUUACCCUCCCGAGGGCUCAGUUUCCUUAUGUGUAAAAUAAAGAAGUUGGACUCGGUGACCA